rnacentral:lncRNA from 1 species
CUUCCAUCAUGCUCCCAUCCUAGAGCCCAUGAUGGGCAUGAGAGAUAUUCUGAUUGGCUGAGCCUGGGUCCUUAGUGCUGGGGGUAGGGGGGUUGAGGGGUGCAGAGAGGAGAGAAUCCAACCUCACCUUAACUACAAAGAGUGAGAGUGGAGAAGGGGAUCUCUGGGGUGCUGUCACUCAAAGAAGUGAGGUAUACCAGGCAAAUAUAAAAAACAGGUGUGUCUUCCAGAAGGAGUUUAGCCAUCCAAGGAAGGUUUGGAAGUGGAAGGCCAGGAAAUCAAUAGAGUCAGCACUAACCAGGCGGUUUUGAGCUUGUAGCCCCUGUCUUUGGUCUCCAGCAGGCCUCACAAGCAUGACUCAGUGGUGAGGCUGCCGCACAUGUGGUUUUGAAACCAACCUUUCCCCUUGGCCCCAGCAGUGCGUUGGCGUGUCCCUGGGGCUGGUCCCAGUGCCCGCCUGGAAAUGCCCUUGGUUUGGGCCCCUGCCUGAAUCUCUGGAAAGGUCUUUGAUCUCCUCACCCCAGCUCUUCCAUUGGCUUCCUCCUCACCCUGGGACAAAGUCUGGCAAUUGCUGAGGAAAAGGCCAAAUGCCACCUUGCAAUUUGCUGGGUCAUCCUGGAACAAGUGCUGCUGGGGCUCCCUGUCCCUACCCAAGCAGAGGAAAGUUCAGGACAGUGGGCAGAUGCCACCACCCCCAGAAAUGAGUAAACCAGGAGGCUGGGCCUGGGGUGCUGGCUGAGACCCUGGCCAAGUGCUUAUCCACAGUGAUAAAUGAGGUCAUCAUAGCUGCUAAGGUCAGUCCUCCUCGGGCAUGUAAACAGCAAAUAAGCUCAUGAUUGGAGAACACCCUUCGAGAGAGGAGGCUCCUGCAUGCAGAAGAUCCUUCCUGAGCACCUUCUGCCCUCCAUGUCCGAGCUGCACACUGGAACAGAGAGGUGAAUCCUUGUCCCCUUAUUUUGUCAUUUGAAACAUCAUUUAGGGGAAGGUGAAGGCCGUUUGGUCAUAUAUUCCCAGCUGCGUGACCUUGGGACUUUCAGUUUCCUCAGCUGAAAAGGUGAUGUGAGAAUGCCCCUAGGUCUGGCAAGCCAAGCACCUGUGCGAGGAGAUGCCAACUUACUCUUUUUUCUGAAGACCCUCCUCAGCAAAGCCCGAAAGUGCUCUCUCUCCCCACGCUGGAGACCAGUGUGCUCUCCAGACAGCAGGCUUUCCCUGGCAGGGUCACAAACCAAAUGUCUAAGUAUUAAAAGUUUUAAAGCAAGCUAACAAACUGCUAGAUAAAAUAUAGCAUACCUCCUCACACGAUGGCAGAGCCUCCUAAUGACCUGGAAGGCCAGAUCAGAAUGGCUAGACUCCUCGGAGUUUCACAUUGGCAUGCGGCAGCUACUUUCCCCGUUCUUCAUGUUUUCCUGCACCGGGAGAAAAACAGAAACCGGGACCUAUUAUGUUGACAUAUAUACACAUACAUAUGGAGAUACAGUAAUUUGUCAUUAGUUUAUGUUGCAUAGGGUAAGAACCUAUCCCAAGUCAGUUUUUGUCUGCAGACCAGCAUGUGGCAAGUUACUGUUAUUGCAUUUUACAGGUGAGGAAUCCGAGCCUCAGAGAGGGAGUGGGCUUUGUCCGGCAUCACGACAGCUGAAGCCCACAGGCUAGGAUUUGAACCCAGAUCCUGAAGACGCCAGGGCCUUUGCCCCUGUCCACUAGCUGUUGUGGCCUGCUUCACAACCAUGUCUCCUGGCCCCCGCUCCAGGGCUCCAUGACUGCUGAUUAAAAGAACAGCUUUGCCAUAUGGUUUAACCUGAUUUUUCCUCCUCCUUUUUCUUCCCCAGACUGCAUGCCCAGGAAGGAGGCUGGGGCAAUAUGGACUGCACCUGAGCUAGCAGGACAGGGUGGGCAGGUGGGCAGGGCCGCAGACUUUGCUCCUUUUGGGAGAUCCGUAGGCAGCUCCCCGGCGCUAUGCCUACUGGGGCCUUCAUGCUGGCAUUUGGCCCAGUCAGGAAGUCUAGGCUAGGUGUGGCCUAGAAGACAGCAUUGCCUCAAACCAACUCAUGCCAGCGAGCACUGACUAGCCACCCACUCUGUGCCCAGCUCUGUGCUGGGAGCUUUGGAGGUUACUUCAUGGAAAUCUUGCUCUGCUUCUGAGCUCGCUGUAAUCUCUUGUCCCUCACAGCGUGCCCGCUACUCCACAUGGCCUGGCUAUGCCAGGAUUCUCAAGCUCAUUAACAUUAGGACUGUGCUGCAAACUGACCACAGCCAACCUAGGAAAGAGGGCUCCAGCAAUCACUACAAAAAUACAUAUUCUUUUUUCCUUUUAGAUUCAAGAAUAAUACAUGAAGGUUGGGCGCGGUGGCUCAUGCCUGUAAUGCCAGCACUUUGGGAGGGUGAGGUGGGAGAAUUGCUUGAGCCCAGGAGUUUGAGACCAGCCUGAGCAACAUGGCAAAACCCCCUCUCUCCAAAAAAAAAAAAAUUUACAAAAAUUAGCCAGGCAUACCGGCAUGUGCUUGUACUCUCAGCUACUCCAGAGGCU